rnacentral:lncRNA from 1 species
UAAGGGUUUAGGGUUUUAGGUUAAGGUUUAGGUUUAGGGUAGGUGUUAGGUUUAGGGUUUAGGUUAGGGUUUUAGGGUUUAGGGUUUAAGGGUUUAGGGUUUAGGGGUUUAGGGUUUAGGUUUAAGGUUUAAUGGUUUAGUGUUUAGGGUUUAGGGUUUAGGGUUUAGUUUAGGUUUUAGGGUCUUAGGGUUUAGGGUUAGGUUUAGCGCUUUUUGUUUAGGGUUCUUAGGUUUAAGGGUUUAGGUUUAGGUUUAGGUUAGGGUUUAGGUUUAGGGUUUUAGGGUUUAGGUUUAAGGUUUAGGGUUACGGGUCUAGGGUUUAGGUCUUAGGUUUUAGGGUUUUAGGUUUGGGUUUAGGGGUUUAAGGGUUUAGGGUUUAGGUUAGGGUUUAGGAGUUUUAAUGGGUUUAGGUUUAGGUUUAGGGUAUUAAGGGUUUAGGGUUUAGGUUAGGGUUUAGGGUUAGGUUUCUCAGGGUUUAGGUAGGUUUAGGGUUAGGGGUUAGGGUGUUAGGGUUUAGGGUUUAGGUUUAGGUUAGGUUUAGGGUUUAGGGUUUAAUGGGUUUAGGUUUUAGGUUUAGGGUUAGGGUUAGGUUUAGGGUUUAGGGUUAGGGUUUAGGGUUUAGUUUAGGGUUUAGGGUUUAGGAGUGUAUGAGGUUUAGGGUUUAGGGUUUAGGGUUUAGGGUUUAGGGUUUAGGGUUUAGGUUUGGUUUAGGUUUAGGUUUAGGGUUUAUUGGGUUUAUGGUUUUGGUGUUUAGUUACGGGUUUUAAGGGUUUUAGCGGUUAGCUUAGGGUUAUAGGGUUUAGGGUUUUAGGGUUUACGUUAGGGUUUCAGGGUUUAGGUUUGAGGGUUUAGGGUUUUAAGGUUAGGGUUUAGGGGUUUAGGGUUUGGGUUUAAGGGUAGGGUUUAGGGUUUAGGUUUUAGGGUUUAGGUUUCGUUAAGGUUUACGGGUUAGGUUUAGGUUUAGUUUAGGGUUUAGGGUUAGGGUUUAGGGUUUAGGGUUAGGUUUUAGGGUUUAGGGUUUAGUUUAUGGUUUAGGGUUUAGGUUUAGGGUUUAGCGGUUUAAGGUAGGGUUUUAGGGUUUAGGGCUUAGGGUUAGGUUUUAGGGUUAGGGCUUGAGGGUUUAGGGUUUAGGGUAGGGUUUAGGGUUUAGGGUUAGGGUUUAGGUUAGGGUUUAGGGCCUUUAGGGUUUAGGGUUUAGGGUUAGGGUUAGGGGUUUUAGGGUUUUAGGGUUUAGGGUUAAGGUUUAGGGUUUAGGUUAGGGUUUUAGGGUUUAGGGUUUAGGUUUAGGGUUAGUUUAGGGUUUAGGGUUUAGGGUUAGGGUUUAGGUUAGGUUUAGGGUUUAGGGUUUAGGUUUAGGGUUUUAGGUUUUAGGUUUAGGGUUUAGGGUUUAAGGGUUUAGGGUUUAAGGGUUUAGGGCUUUAGGGUUUUAAGGGUUUAGGGUUAGGGUUCAGGGUUUAGGGUUUAGGGUUAUAGGGUUUAGGUAGGGUUUAGGGUUAGGAGUUUAGGGUUUAGGGUUGGGUUUAGGGUUUAGGGUUUAGGUUUUAGGGUUAGUUUCAGUUAGGGUUUAGGGUUUAGGGUUAGGUUAUGGUUUAGGUUCUGGUUAGGGUUUAGGGUUUAGGGUUUAGGGUUAGUGGUUUUAGGUUUAGGGUUUAGGGUUUAGGUUUAGGUUUAGGUUUAGGGUUUUAGGUUUUAUGGUUUAGGGUUUGGGUUUAAGGGGUUUUGGGUUAGGGUUUAGGGUCUUAGGUUUACGCGUUUAGGUUUAGGUUUAGGGUUUAGGUUUAGUUUAGGUUUAUGGUUUUAGGGUUUAGGUUUUAGGGUUAAUGUUGUAGGGUUUAGUUAGGUUUAGGGUUUAGGUUAGGUUUAGGGUUUAGGGUUAGGGUUUAGGGUUAGGGUUUUAGGGUUAGGGUUAGGGUUUAGGGUUUAGGGUUAGGGUUUAAAAGGGUAGGGUUAGGGUUUAAGGGUUUUAGGGUUUAAGGGUUUAGGUUUAGGGUUUAGGUUCAGGGUUAGGGUUUAAGGGCUUUAAGGGCUUCUUAGGGUUUAGGGUGUAGGGUUUAGGUUCUUAGGGUUUAGGGUCUUAGGGUUAAGGUUUAGGGGUUUUAGGGUUAGGUUUAGGGUAUUAAGGGUUUAGGGUUUAGGUUUAGGUUUUAGGGUUAGGGUUUAAAAGGGUUUAGUUAGGUAGUAGGGUCUUAAGGUUUGAGGGUUUAGGUUAGGGUUGUAAGGGUUUAGUUAGGGUUUAGGGUUUGGGUUAGGGUUUAGGGUUAGGUUUAGGGUUUUAGGGAUUAGGGUUUAGAGGUUUAGGUUUAGGGUUUAGGUUAGGUUUAGGUUUAGGUUUAGGGUUUAGGGUUUCAGGGUUAGGUUAGGGUUUAGGUUUAGGUUAGGGUUUAGGGUUAGGUUUAGGUUUAGGUUAGUGGUUUAGGGUUUAGGGUUUAUGGUUUAGGGUUAGGGUUUAAGGGUUUAGGGUUUAGGGUUUAGGGUUUAGCGCUUUAGGGUUAGGGUUUUAGGGUUAGGGUUAGGGUUUAGGUUGAGGGUUUUUUAGGGUUUAGGUUUAGGUAGGUGUUUUUAGGUUAAGGUUUAGGGUUUGGGUUUAGGUAUUAGGGCUUUAGGGUAUAGGUUAGGGUUAGGGUAUUAGGUGUCAUUAGGUUUGGGUAUUUAGUUUAGGGAUUUUUUUUCCUCUUAGGGUUUAGGGUUUAGGUUUUAGGUUAGGGUUAGGUUUAGGGUUUAGGAGUUUUAUAGGUUUAGGGUAGCGGUUUAGGGUUAGGGUUAAGGGUUUAGGUUUAGGGUUUAGGUUAGGUAGGGGUUAAGGUUAGGUUUAGGGUUUAGGGUUUAGGGUUAGGGUUAGGUUAGGUUGAGGGUUAGGUCUUAGGGUUUAGGGUUAAGGGUUAGCGUUUAGGUUGGGUUUAAGGGUUAGGGUUUAGGGUUAGGGUUUAGGGUUUAGGAGUUAGGUUUGAGGGUUAGGGUUUAGGGUUUAGGGUUUAGGUUUAGGGAUUAGGGUUUAGGGGUUAUGGUUUAGG